rnacentral:rRNA from 1 species
UACGUAGGCAGCGAGCGUUGUUCGGAAUUACUGGGCGUAAAGAGUGUGUAGGCGGUGCUCUAAGUUCGGUGUGAAAUCUCCUGGCUCAACUGGGAGGGUGCGCCGGAAACUGGAGUGCUUGAGCGUGGGAGAGGAAAGCGGAAUUCCUGGUGUAGCGGUGAAAUGCGCAGAUAUCAGGAGGAACACCGGUGGCGAAGGCGGGUCUCUGGGCCGGAACUGACGCUGAGGAGCGAAAGCGUGGGGAGCGAACAGG